rnacentral:snRNA from 1 species
GGAUGUGAAGGUGAUCUGGCUGUGACAUAUGUCACCCCCUUGAUUACCAGAGUUGAUUUGGCUGAUACGGCUGGCUAGAUCCCCAUCCUCCCUCACUGAUCCACGUGUGUCCCUCCUGAAUAGAUACAGACUUGUCUUUGGUUAAGAGUAUAUGGGUAGCUGAACUCCCCUCCUAGAACUUCCAAGUAAGCUCUCAAGGUCCUAGGACUUUGGAACCUCAGCUUGAGAGUUCCUCUCCUC